CAUACCAAGAGAAGAAAUAGGCUCACAACGGAGCGGUGCAACAAUUUGGUCUUCAUAAGGUUUAAUAAUAGGAUGUUGUCUAGGAAACAAAAGCUCCUAGAGAAGAAGAAAUGGGAUGUGCUCAUUAGCACCGAUGCUACCAAAGCUCAAGGAUUUCUAUUUGAAGGAGGGGAUGAUUAUGCAAGUGUUGUUUAUCUUGAUGAGGAGGAUGGAGAUGUUCAUCCGGGUACGGGGAUAUCAUGGGAUCUACUUGGUGAAGCAAUGGGAGCACAAGAGCAACUCCAACUUCGGAGGAGUGCAAGAGUGAGAGACCUUGAGGAGGAGGAGUUUGAAUCCGAUCAUGAUGAUGAGAUAGUGGAUGAAGAUGAUAUUGAGUAUGAGGAUGAUUGA
rnacentral:rRNA from 1 species